AUUGAACGCUGGCGGCAGGCCUAACACAUGCAAGUCGAACGGUAACAGGAAGAAGCUUGCUUCUUUGCUGACGAGUGGCGGACGGGUGAGUAAUGUCUGGGAAACUGCCUGAUGGAGGGGGAUAACUACUGGAAACGGUAGCUAAUACCGCAUAACGUCGCAAGACCAAAGAGGGGGACCUUCGGGCCUCUUGCCAUCGGAUGUGCCCAGAUGGGAUUAGCUAGUAGGUGGGGUAACGGCUCACCUAGGCGACGAUCCCUAGCUGGUCUGAGAGGAUGACCAGCCACACUGGAACUGAGACACGGUCCAGACUCCUACGGGAGGCUGCAGUGGGGAAUAUUGCACAAUGGGCGCAAGCCUGAUGCAGCCAUGCCGCGUGUAUGAAGAAGGCCUUCGGGUUGUAAAGUACUUUCAGCGGGGAGGAAGGGAGUAAAGUUAAUACCUUUGCUCAUUGACGUUACCCGCAGAAGAAGCACCGGCUAACUCCGUG
rnacentral:rRNA from 1 species